GUGGGUCAUAAGACUUGAUCCAGAGAAAAUAACUCCAAUCCUUUCUCUGUUCUAACUUCCAACUUGAAGUAACUUUUGGUUUGCUGAUUUGGAUUUUCCGGUCAUCUUACUCUGAACAGUAGAUACGAUGCCUAAAUGCCUGAUGUGUGACAGCAAUGCCUGUUCCCAUGGUGCUGCUGCUUCUGAGAAAGCGCCAAACAGACAAAGAACAAGGCAGAAACGGCCUCCUCGCUGGGGAUGAAAAGAAGCUGCUCUGAUGAGGGAAUCAGUUUACCGCUUCUGCCGCUAAAAUUCUCUUCGUCUGUCUCUGGUUUUCUUUAUUAUGCACCCCAGAAAAAAUCGCUCCCUCCCAAGACAACACACAUAAUAAAGAAAAUAUUGACUCUGUAGCCCAAUUUUGAUAAAUGUAACCAAAGUGGAAAGAA